CAACCCUCAGGCCCUGCCUGGCGUUGGAGGACUGCGCCUGCAGCCUCCCAAAGCGAGCGGCGGCGUCGCCCCGAACUCGAACGCAGUAGUUUUCUCUCGUUCUGGGUCCGAGGCGCUGUCCUGCCGGAAAACCCCCAUCUUUUACAU
rnacentral:misc_RNA from 1 species